GCUCAGGAUGAACGCUAGCGGCAGGCCUAACACAUGCAAGUCGAACGGUAACAGGGAAGAGCUUGCUCUUUCGCUGACGAGUGGCGCACGGGUGCGUAACGCGUAUACAAUCUGCCUUUAAGCGGGGAAUAGCCCAUGGAAACGUGGAUUAAUACCCCAUAGUAUGUAGACUUCACCUGGAGACUACAUUAAACAUUUAUGGCUUAAAGAUGAGUAUGCGUCCUAUUAGUUAGUUGGUAAGGUAACGGCUUACCAAGACCGCGAUAGGUAGGGGUCCUGAGAGGGAGAUCCCCCACACUGGUACUGAGACACGGACCAGACUCCUACGGGAGGCAGCAGUGAGGAAUAUUGGACAAUGGAGGCAACUCUGAUCCAGCCAUGCCGCGUGCAGGAAGACGGCCCUAUGGGUUGUAAACUGCUUUUAUACGGGAAGAACCACAUCUACGUGUAGAUGCUUGACGGUACCGUAUGAAUAAGGACCGGCUAACUCCGUGCCAGCAGCCGCGGUAAUACGGAGGGUCCAAGCGUUAUCCGGAAUCAUUGGGUUUAAAGGGUCCGUAGGCGGAAUAAUAAGUCAGUGGUGAAAGUCUGCAGCUCAACUGUAGAAUUGCCAUUGAUACUGUUAUUCUUGAAUUAUUAUGAAGUGGUUGGAAUGAGUAGUGUAGCGGUGAAAUGCAUAGAUAUUACUCAGAACACCUAUUGCGAAGGCAGAUCACUAAUAAUAUAUUGACGCUGAGGGACGAAAGCGUAGGUAGCGAACAGGAUUAGAUACCCUGGUAGUCUACGCCGUAAACGAUGGUUACUAGCUGUCCGGCCUAAUUGAGGGCUGGGUGGUUAAG
rnacentral:rRNA from 1 species